GCCUGGGUGGCUCAGUUGGUUGAGCAUCUGACUUCAGCUCAGGUCAUGAUCUCACGGCUCAUGAGUUUGAGCCCCGUGUCAGGCU
rfam:Felis catus isolate Cinnamon breed Abyssinian chromosome B4, whole genome shotgun sequence.